CAGCCGCCACGGGAAUACGGAGGGGGCUAGCGUUGUUCGGAAUUACUGGGCGUAAAGCGCACGUAGGCGGCUUGGUAAGUUAGAGGUGAAAGCCCGGAGCUCAACUCCGGAAUUGCCUUUAAGACUGCCGAGCUAGUAGGUGAGAGAGGUAAGUGGAAUUCCGAGUGUAGAGGUGAAAUUCGUAGAUAUUCGGAAGAACACCAGUGGCGAAGGCGGCUUACUGGCUCAUUCUAGACGCUGAGGUGCGAAAGCGUGGGGAGCAAACAGGACUAGAUACCCCAGUAGUCCCUGUCUCUUAUAC
rnacentral:rRNA from 1 species